rnacentral:rRNA from 1 species
AACGAACGCUGGCGGCAUGCCUAACACAUGCAAGUCGAACGAGACCUUCGGGUCUAGUGGCGCACGGGUGCGUAACGCGUGGGAACCUGCCCUUAGGUUCGGAAUAACUCCCCGACAGGGGUGCUAAUACCGGAUAAUGUCUUCGGACCAAAGAUUUAUCGCCUUUGGAUGGGCCCGCGUUGGAUUAGCUAGUUGGUAGGGUAAAAGCCUACCAAGGCGACGAUCCAUAGCUGGUCUGAGAGGCUGAUCAGCCACACUGGGACUGGGACACGGCCCAGACUCCUACGGGAGGCAGCAGUGGGUAAUAUUGGACAAUGGGCGAAAGCCUGAUCCAGCAAUGCCGCGUGAGUGAUGAAGGCCUUAGGGUUGUAAAGCUCUUUUACCCGGGAUGAUAAUGACAGUACCGGGAGAAUAAGCUCCGGCUAACUCCGUG